rnacentral:misc_RNA from 1 species
GGAAGUAAAAGUCGUAGCAAGGUUUCCGUAGGUGAACCUGCGGAAGGAUCAUUAUUGUAUAACCGAGGUGCGAGGGCUGUCGCUGACCCGAAAGGUCGUGCACGCCCGAGUGCCCUCACACACAUCCAUCUCACCCCUAUGUGCACCACCGCGUGGGUCCCCCUUUGGCUUGUUCGGAGGGGGGCUUACGUUUUCACACAAACUUUGUAUGCAGUGUAGAAUGUAUUUUUUGUUUUUGCGAUCACGCAAUCAAUACAACUUUCAACAACGGAUCUCUUGGCUCUC